UCCCCGUUUUCCGGGGCAGUCCCUGUAGAGUUCCCGGCAUAACCCGUUGGCAACUGGGAGCGAGGGUUGCGCUCGUUGCGGGACUUAACCCAACAUCUCACGACACGAGCUGACGACAGCCAUGCAGCACCUGUGCUGGCGCUCCGAAGAGGGGCCGAUGUUUCCACCGGCUUUCACCAGCAUGUCAAACCCUGGUAAGGUUCUUCGCGUUGCUUCGAAUUGAGCAACAUCCUCCACCGCUUGUGUGAGCCCCCGUCAAUUCCUUUGAGUUUCAGCCUUGCGGCCGUACUCCCCAGGCGGGGCACUUACUGCGUUAGCGACGGCACCGGGAGGGUCGCUCCCCCCGACGCCUAGUGCCCAUCGUUUACGGCGUGGACUAC
rnacentral:misc_RNA from 1 species